UACGGAGGGUGCAAGCAUUAAUCGGAAUGAUUGGGCGUAAAGGGCGCGUAGGCGGAGGCGCAAGUCAGAUGUGAAAUCCCGGGGCUCAACCUCGGAACAGCAUAUGAAACUGCGCCCCUAGAGGGUAGGCGGAGAAAACGGAAUUCCACAAGUAGCGGUGAAAUGCGUAGAGAUGUGGAAGAACACCGGUGGCGAAAGCGGUUUUCUAGCUUAUACCUGACGCUGAGGCGCGAAAGCAAGGGGAUCAAACAGG
rnacentral:rRNA from 1 species